AGCAGUAGCCACGGGAAUACGGAGGGUGCAAGCGUUAAUCGGAAUUACUGGGCGUAAAGGGUGCGUAGGCGGUUAUUUAAGUCUGUUGUGAAAUCCCCGGGCUCAACCUGGGAAUGGCAAUGGAUACUGGAUAGCUAGAGUGUGUCAGAGGAUGGUGGAAUUCCCGGUGUAGCGGUGAAAUGCGUAGAGAUCGGGAGGAACAUCAGUGGCGAAGGCGGCCAUCUGGGACAACACUGACGCUGAAGCACGAAAGCGUGGGGAGCAAACAGGAUUAGAUACCCGCGUAGUCCCUGUCUCUUAUAC
rnacentral:rRNA from 1 species